UACAGAGGUCUCAAGCGUUGUCCGGAAUCAUUGGGCGUAAAGAGCGUGUAGGCGGUUCGGUAAGUCGGCUGUGAAAGUCCAGGGCUCAACCCUGGGAUGCCGGUCGAUACUGCCGGACUAGAGUUCGGAAGAGGCGAGUGGAAUUCCCGGUGUAGCGGUGAAAUGCGCAGAUAUCGGGAGGAACACCUAUGGCGAAGGCAGCUCGCUGGGACGUUACUGACGCUGAGACGCGAAAGCGUGGGGAGCAAACAGG
rnacentral:rRNA from 1 species